UUCCGUAGGGGUAAUCUGCGGAGGGAUCAUUACCGAGUUUACAACUCCCAAACCCCUGUGAACAUACCACUUGUUGCCUCGGCGGAUCAGCCCGCUCCCGGUAAAACGGGACGGCCCGCCAGAGGACCCCUAAACUCUGUUUCUAUAUGUAACUUCUGAGUAAAACCAUAAAUAAAUCAAAACUUUCAACAACGGAUCUCUUGGUUCUGGCAUCGAUGAAGAACGCAGCAAAAUGCGAUAAGUAAUGUGAAUUGCAGAAUUCAGUGAAUCAUCGAAUCUUUGAACGCACAUUGCGCCCGCCAGUAUUCUGGCGGGCAUGCCUGUUCGAGCGUCAUUUCAACCCUCAAGCACAGCUUGGUGUUGGGACUCGCGUUAAUUCGCGUUCCUCAAAUUGAUUGGCGGUCACGUCGAGCUUCCAUAGCGUAGUAGUAAAACCCUCGUUACUGGUAAUCGUCGCGGCCACGCCGUUAAACCCCAACUUCUGAAUGUGACCUCGGAUCAGGUAGAUCCCAAAUUCA
rnacentral:rRNA from 1 species